AAGUCGUAACAAGGUCUCCGUAGGUGAACCUGCGGAGGGAUCAUUACCGAGUGAGGGUGCCCCGGCCGGCCGCACCUCCCAACCCUUUCGUUUUCGACCAAUCACCUCAGUUGCCUCGGGGGUGACCCGGCCCUCUCGGGGUCCGGGGCCCCACCGCUGGACCACAGCAUCAACGCUGCAUCUCUGCGUCGGAGUCAUUGAAGCGAAUUCAAUCAAAA
rnacentral:misc_RNA from 1 species